rnacentral:snRNA from 1 species
ACAGUUACGUCGUUCUCGGUUUGGUCGAGAGGUCUACAGUCACUGUAGACUCCUAGACCAAUCAAAACGCGUACUGUCUACAGUCGUUGCGCUACUGUAGACCUCGACCCCUGCGAAUUUCCCAAUGGUGGGAAAUCUCGAUUGCAUAAUUUCUGGUAGUGUGGGGACUGCGUUCGCGCUCCUCCCUG